rnacentral:rRNA from 1 species
GCGGCGUGCAUAACACAUGCAAGUCGAACGAGAAAUCCCGCCUUCGGGUGGGAGAGUAAAGUGGCGCACGGGUGAGUAACGCGUGGGUAACCUGCCCCUGAAUUCGGGAUAACUCCGCGAAAGCGGUGCUAAUACCGAAUGUCGUCACAGGGACCGUGGUCCCUGGGAUGAAAGGUGACCUCUCCAUGGAAGUUGCCGUUCGGGGAGGGGCUCGCGUACCAUUAGCUUGUUGGUGGGGUAAUGGCUACCAAGGCUACGAUGGUUAGCUGGUCUGAGAGGAUGAUCAGCCACACUGGCACUGAAACACGGGCCAGACUCCUACGGGAGGCAGCAGUGAGGAAUUUUGCGCAAUGGGGGAAACCCUGACGCAGCAACGCCGCGUGAGUGAAGAAGGCUUUCGGGUCGUAAAGCUCUGUCAAGUGGGAAAAACGUCUUCCCGUUAACAGCGGGAAGGCCUGAUGGUACCACUGGAGGAAGCACCGGCUAACUCCGUGCCAGCAGCCGCGGUAAUACGGAGGGUGCAAGCGUUGUUCGGAAUUACUGGGCGUAAAGAGCGUGUAGGCGGCAAGGUAAGUCAGGCGUGAAAGCCCUGGGCUUAACCCGGGAAGUGCGUUUGAAACUGCCUCGCUCGAGUAUGGGAGAGGAGAGUGGAAUUCCCGGUGUAGAGGUGAAAUUCGUAGAUAUCGGGAGGAACACCCGUGGCGAAGGCGACUCUCUGGACCAAUACUGACGCUGAGACGCGAAAGCGUGGGGAGCAAACAGGAUCAGAUACCCUGGUAGUCCACGCCGUAAACGAUGAGCACUAGGUGUAGCGGGUAUUGACCCCUGCUGUGCCGUAGCUAGCGCAUUAAGUGCUCCGCCUGGGGAGUACGGCCGCAAGGCUAAAACUCAAAGGAAUUGACGGGGGCCCGCACAAGCGGUGGAGCAUGUGGUUUAAUUCGACGCAACGCGAAGAACCUUACCUGGGCUUGACAUCCCCUGACACCCCGGGAAACCGGGAUUGCCCUGCUUGCAGGGACAGGGUGACAGGUGCUGCAUGGCUGUCGUCAGCUCGUGUCGUGAGAUGUUGGGUUAAGUCCCGCAACGAGCGCAACCCCUUUCUUUGGUUGCCAGUAUUCAGUUAGGCACUCUAAAGAGACUGCCUCGGCUAACGGGGAGGAAGGUGGGGAUGACGUCAAGUCCUCAUGGCCUUUAUGCCCAGGGCUACACACGUGCUACAAUGGGUCGUACAAUGGGUUGCUAUACCGCGAGGUGGAGCCAAUCCCAAAAAGCGGCUCUCAGUUCGGAUCGGAGUCUGCAACUCGACUCCGUGAAGGUGGAUCGCUAGUGAUCGUGGAUCAGCAUGCCACGGUGAUACGUUCCCGGGCC